UACGUAGGGUGCAAGCGUUGUCCGGAAUUAUUGGGCGUAAAGCGCGUGUAGGCGGUUUCUUAAGUCUGAUGUGAAAGCCCUGGGCUCAACCCAGGAAGUGCAUUGGAUACUGGGAAACUUGAAUACGGGAGAGGGUAGUGGAAUUCCUAGUGUAGGAGUGAAAUCCGUAGAUAUUAGGAGGAACACCGGUGGCGAAGGCGGCUACCUGGACCGAUAUUGACGCUGAGACGCGAAAGCGUGGGGAGCAAACAGG
rnacentral:rRNA from 1 species